AAAUUUAUAUGUAAGUGAUUUCUAUGCACCCUUAUGCAAUCUUUGUAUAGUCAGAACAAUAUAUAUAAUUUAAUUAGUUUAUUGAUGGUGAAUAUAAUUUCAAGUGUCAUACAAUUAUUUGUUCCAUUCAUUCUCAUGGUCUCUUCACAAGUAUUUCCCAUAGCGAUUGAUUAGGAGUGUGCCACAUAUAUUGGUAGAAACAUCAUAUAUGUGCAUUGACAAACGUAUAUAUGCAUAACAUUCAUUAAUAUAAUUCGUUAGCUGCUUGAACAAUAACUAAUGAUUAGAAUUUCAAUUUUUGUAUUUUACAUGCUGUUUUGUUCAAUAUACAUAACUGCAUCUUCACAUUUAAUGAAGUAGAGUAAACAUAGGCUCCAUUUGUUUAGAUUUCUAUACACAUUGUUGUUUGUUUUUAUUUCUAUAUGAUUUUGUAAAUUCACA
rnacentral:misc_RNA from 1 species